rnacentral:lncRNA from 1 species
UGCACGAGAAUGCAUGUGUUUAAAUGCGCACGAGCGGAGAUUGCUUCGAAUGAAUGCGAAAUUGCGAUUGGAAAUGUGCCAAAAUAGCCGAUUCCAAAACAUGAUGAUUAAGUUGAUGUUUCCAGCCAACUUUUUAGUAGAAUAGUCGACUCCUGAACUUUUUCUGGAAGAUUCUACCAAAACAACAGUAACCGUUUUAACUUACGUCUAUCCCAAGUGAAGUGUUUCAACAUUAUGGACGUCAUGUUUGUAAAGCAGGUUAAAUUCGCCCAUCAGAUGCACGUGCACAGUCAACAUGCAUCUGCCAAACACUAAGGCCCCUAUCAUGGACAGAUGUGUCAACGGCCCUCAAGAGGAGGCAACACACCGAUGCCAAAAAUCAGCUGGAAUAUUGUGCUCCAUAUUGUCAAGAUCACACUUGGGACACACUUGCUGAAGCUGUGGAUUAAAGGUAAUAAUGUUGAAAAAAUAUUCAUUUUCUUUAACAUUGUGAUUAGUUUUUUUAAGAAGAGC